rnacentral:rRNA from 1 species
UACGAAGGGGGCUAGCGUUGCUCGGAAUCACUGGGCGUAAAGGGUGCGUAGGCGGGUUUUUAAGUCAGGGGUGAAAUCCUGGAGCUCAACUCCAGAACUGCCUUUGAUACUGAAGAUCUUGAGUCCGGGAGAGGUGAGUGGAACUGCGAGUGUAGAGGUGAAAUUCGUAGAUAUCGUUUGGAACGCCAAUGGUGAAAACAGGUCGCUGGGGAUGAGCUGACGCUGAGACACGAAAGCCAGGGGAGCAAACGGG